rnacentral:rRNA from 1 species
UACGUAGGUCCCGAGCGUUGUCCGGAUUUAUUGGGCGUAAGGCGAGCGCAGGUGGUUUAUUAAGUCUGGAGUGAAAGGCAGUGGCUCAACCAUUGUAUGCAUUGGAAACUGGUAGACUUGAGUGCAGGAGAGGAGAGUGGAAUUCCAUGUGUAGCGGUGAAAUGCGUAGAUAUAUGGAGGAACACCGGUGGCGAAAGCGGCUCUCUGGCCUGUAACUGACACUGAGGCUCGAAAGCGUGGGGAGCAAACAGG